GGGGGGGCUCAGCCCUGUGCUGCCCUCCCACACUGUCUCUUCUCCAGGGUGAGCAAGGGCUGCUGGGAGCCCCAGGACAAGCAGGACCACCCGGCCCCCUGGUAAGUCGGCGUGGGUGAGCCCUGUGGACCCUGGCGUCCCGACUGGGUGCAGCCCGGGGAGCUUGACACCCUCUUUGCCUCUUGCAGGGCCCCGUGGGUUUGCCUGGCCUCAAGGGAGACCCUGGCCACAAGGGAGAUAAGGUAAAACGAAGCGAUGGUUGUGCAGGAGCUGGAGCUGGGGUGCCCCUCACCCUGGACUCGUCCCCAGGCCUCCCUUGGUCCUUGGGAGGAGGCUGACACCCCCUCUCAUCCCCAGGGCCACGCUGGACUGAUCGGGCUCAUCGGACCUCCAGGAGAGAUGGGGGAGAAAGGAGACCAGGGGCUGCCGGGCAUCCAGGGCCCCCCAGGACCCAAAGGAGACCCUGGUUUGGCUGGACCCACAGGUCCCACUGGCCCCCCAGGGCCCCCUGGGCUCUCGGUGAGUAUCUGCCCGCACCGUCCAGAUACACCAAGCUUCAGCUGCACGUUGUCCUGCACAUCCCAGGGCCUCCGGUCUACCCUUAGCGCCCCUGCAGUCCCGGGGGGCCUCUCUCCCCAGGACGGGUGAGGGGGCAGAGGGGAAACCGAGGCACAAGGGAGGGUGGAGGGUGGCUUCCCCAUGGCGCACAACCACUGCACGGCUGGGGAGCUGGUUGCAGCAGCCAGCACCUCUCUCCUGUCUCCUCUUCCCCCCAGGGACCCUUGGGCCAGACGGG
rnacentral:lncRNA from 1 species